UACGGAGGGUGCGAGCGUUAAUCGGAAUUACUGGGCGUAAAGCGCGCGUAGGUGGUUAAUUAAGUCAGAUGUGAAAUCCCAGGGCUCAACCUUGGAACUGCAUUUGAAACUGGUUAACUAGAGUUUUGUAGAGGGUGGUAGAAUUUCAGGUGUAGCGGUGAAAUGCGUAGAGAUCUGAAGGAAUACCAGUGGCGAAGGCGGCCACCUGGACAAAGACUGACACUGAGGCGCGAAGGCGUGGGGAGCAAAC
rnacentral:rRNA from 1 species